UACGUAGAGUGUAAAGGCAAAAGAGAGCUUGAUUGCAAGACAUACAGGUCGAGCAAGGAUGAAAAUCGGGCUUAGUGAUCCGGUGGUUCUGCGUGGAAGGGCCAUCGCUCAACGGAUAAAAGCUACCCUGGGGAUAACAGGAUUAUCUCCCCCAAGAGUCCACAUCGACGGGGAGGUUUGGCACCUCGAUGUCGGCUCAUCACAUCCUGGG
rnacentral:rRNA from 1 species